rnacentral:rRNA from 1 species
ACUCCUACGGGAGGCAGCAGUGGGGAAUAUUGGACAAUGGGGGGAACCCUGAUCCAGCCAUGCCGCGUGUGUGAAGAAGGCCUUAUGGUUGUAAAGCACUUUAAGCGUGGAGGAGGCUACUGAGACUAAUACUCUUGGAUAGUGGACGUUACUCGCAGAAUAAGCACCGGCUAACUCUGUGCCAGCAGCCGCGGUAAUACAGAGGGUGCGAGCGUUAAUCGGAUUUACUGGGCGUAAAGCGUGCGUAGGCGGCUUUUUAAGUCGGAUGUGAAAUCCCCGAGCUUAACUUGGGAAUUGCAUUCGAUACUGGGAAGCUAGAGUAUGGGAGAGGAUGGUAGAAUUCCAGGUGUAGCGGUGAAAUGCGUAGAGAUCUGGAGGAAUACCGAUGGCGAAGGCAGCCAUCUGGCCUAAUACUGACGCUGAGGUACGAAAGCAUGGGGAGCAAACAGGAUUAGAUACCCUGGUAGUCCAUGCCGUAAACGAUGUCUACUAGCCGUUGGGGCCUUUGAGGCUUUAGUGGCGCAGCUAACGCGAUAAGUAGACCGCCUGGGGAGUACGGUCGCAAGACUAAAACUCAAAGGAAUUGACGG